GCCCUGCGGAAACGCGGCUCCCCACCGCAAAAUCUUCCAGCUUCGUCCCCUGGGGGCAGAACGUCAUUGCAGGAACUGCUCCUGUUCACCUCCAAUCUCACCAGCAUGAAGCCACCCACAAAUAGGGUACGCGCGAUUCAUUCGGCUGCCAUCCUGCAGAAACGUGAGCCGGCACGGAGCCGGAACAGAGUAGCGCGCAGAGAGGGUGACCGGCCACCCUCGGGACAGCGGCACAGACUGCGAACGCCCUCUGGUGCUUUGGAGGAUAGGCUGCAGUCCAUCCUCCUGUGACCUCUGGGUUUGCAAACUUGUUUGUAGCCAAGUGUGAAGCUGCUGAGAUGAGGAUCAGCAUCUCCAAGUCUGAAGCCAUAGUUCUCAACCAGAAAACAGUGGAUUGCCCUGUCCAAGUUGUGGAUGAAUUACUGCCACUAGUGGACAAGUUUAAAUAUCAUGGGUCUUGUUCACAAGCGCGGGAAGAAUGGAGCAGGAGAUCAACGGGCAGACUGGUGUAGCAUCAACAGUUAUGUGAGCAUUUCUGAGCCGGAAGGCAUUCCUACCCUCGCCCCUGGUCACGAGGUUUGGGAGGUGACUGAGAGAAUGAGACUGUGCAUGUGCUGGAAACAAACUCCCUCCACAGGGUUUCUGGGCUCAGCUCAACUGAAAGUACAGCCGGUUCUCCUCCGCAUUGAAAAGAGCCCAGCUGAGGUGGUUCAAGCAGCAUGCUAGGAUGUUUCCUGGACACCUCCAUGGGGAGGUGCUCCAGACCUGUGCAACUGACAGGAGACUCUGGGGAACACCCAGGACACACUAGAAAGGUAAUGUCUCUCAGCUGGCCUGGGAGCACCUGGGUUUCCCCCCGGAGGAGCUGGAGGAGGUGGCUGGGAAGAGGGAGGUCUGGGCAUCUCCGCUCAGGCUGCUGCCCCGGCUACCCGGACCCAGAAAAGUGGCAAAGAAUGGAUGGAUGGAUGGAAUAAAUUUCAAGAACUUUCUGGCUGCUGGUGGAUAGAGCACCCAAAGAAAUGAUGUAGGCAUGUUUACAUUUUCAAGGUUAAACCGAAAUAAACUGAUGGUGUAAUUUUCAUGCAGCACUGGAAAUUCAAAUAACAAUUUCAAAUUUUGUCCAAAUCGAACAUCAGUCACCAAGUGAUAUGAAACCAGUUUAUAGGUAUCAUGAUUUGCUCUGUUGCUUAAACAUGAGAUAUUUUUAUAGAAAACUGUGCAAAAGUCUUAGUCAAAGACGAUGUUUAAACCCUUUUAUGUCGGUAGUAAGUGCAUAUUUGGUGAGAAAAAAAACAAUGUAACAUUAGAACAACAAAUCAACAAUAAGAAAAUCUAAAGUAAUUUAAACGUCAUUUUCUUUUGCACAGUGCUGUAUAUUAUUAAUCACGCUGGAAAGCAAGAGUAAAUAUCAAUGGAAAAGGAGGUGCAUUGUGUAACCAUGUUACUAUUUAUAUUGAGCGCAUGUUCAAAA